UACGGGGGGGGCAAGCGUUGUUCGGAAUUACUGGGCGUAAAGGGCUCGUAGGCGGCCAACUAAGUCCGACGUGAAAUCCCAAGGCUUAACCUUGGAACUGCGUCGGAUACUGGAUGGCUUGAAUUCGGGAGAGGGAUGCAGAAUUCCAGGUGUAGCGGUGAAAUGCGUAGAUAUCUGGAGGAACACCGGUGGCGAAGGCGGCAUCCUGGACCGGCAUUGACGCUGAGGCGCGAAAGCCAGGGGAGCAAACGGG
rnacentral:rRNA from 1 species